UACGAAGGGGGCUAGCGUUGUUCGGAAUUACUGGGCGUAAAGCGCACGUAGGCGGGUAUUUAAGUCAGGGGUGAAAUCCCAGAGCUCAACUCUGGAACUGCCUUUGAUACUGGGUACCUAGAGUAUGGAAGAGGUGAGUGGAAUUCCGAGUGUAGAGGUGAAAUUCGUAGAUAUUCGGAGGAACACCGGUGGCGAAGGCGGGUCUCUGGACAGUCCCUGACACUGAGACACGAAGGCCAGGGGAGCAAACAGGG
rnacentral:rRNA from 1 species